GAUAGAACAAUCAUGCUUAACUCUCGCAUUGUUGGGAUGAAGAAAACAUUGAUAUUUCAUGAAGGCAAGGCCCCUAAAGGUGACAGAACGGACUGGGUGAUGUAUGAAUACAAAAUGGAAGAUGAGGAGUUGGUUUCUGCUGGUUUCUCUAAGGUAAUGCUACUUGUCCCAUGAUGGUUUCUAUGUACUCCCUCCGUCCCAAAUUGGCUUUUCUAGGUGCAUAGUUUUUUGUUAUGCAUCUGGAUAUAGACGCAUAAUAAUAUCUACGAAUCUAGAAAAGUCAAAACGACCUACAAUUUGAAACGGAGGGAGUAGUUCUUAAUACAGCCAAUUACCAUGAUGGUUUCUAUGUAGUUCUUAACACAACCAAUUAUUUAUGUAAAAAGUUAAGAAGUUAAAUGAUUCUUAUGUUCUCUGUAUGGUAAACAAACACAUUUGUUAAAUGUUCUUGUUGAUAUAUUGAGUCACUACGUAAUUGCUCCUGUAGUAUGAAUGUUAUGUUUUGUGGAAAGUUAAGGGAAUUUUUUUUUAUGUUCAAUUUGUGUGGUGAAACAGUGAGAAAAGAACCAUUGAUACAAAUACAAUUCUGAGCUUAUUUUCUGUUUAACUGAUGGGGUAGAUUAUACAAUACCUUACACAAUACUGAUUGUCCUUGUUUCUUAUUACACAUUCAGGAUGCUUUUGUUCUCUGCAAAAUUUUCAAGAAAAGUGGCCUUGGUCCAAGGAUUGGGGAGCAAUAUGGGGCACCAUUUAAUGAAGCAGAAUGGGAUAAUGCAGAAGCGGAAGCUUCUAUGUUUCCGUUGAUGACCUCUUCAGAAGUAGUGAACCCAACGGAGGACUCACAUGCCCAACAUGAAGUCCCUGCAGGUGCUGUUCGUGAACCACCUCUACAGAAUGCAUCUGCUGCUUGUGCUGGAGAGGAAUCAUCAUUUGCUCAUGCCACAGCAACUACUUGUGUUGAGGACUUAACAUUUGGCUAUACUGUUGCUGGUUCUGCUAUCCAAG
rnacentral:lncRNA from 1 species